UACGUAUUCUUUUGGCCAAAUAUCCUCUCAUGCGUCAUUCCCGAGGUUUUCACGCUUGUGCCGUUCUUCGACACAGAUAGAGGUAUGGCUUGCCGAAGUCGGACUUUACGAUCGACUUCAAACCGAUCACUUUGGAAGCCCCUUGGAAGAAGUUUCUGGUUAUUAUCCAUGAUUUUAACCUUCUAUCCUAUUGCUUCCAAGUUGUGUUAUCGUUGUAACUGCAAGUUAAUCAAUUAUAAGUUUGGUGCACACAAAAAAAAAUAUAAAAUAAAAUAACCCAAACCCUUUGACCAAACAAAUAGUCAAUUAAUAAAUAUCUCAAACCCUUUGACCAAACAAAUAAAACUAUAAAUGGAAAGUAUUUAUUUCUCUAUUGA
rnacentral:lncRNA from 1 species